UACGUAGGGGGCAAGCGUUAUCCGGAUUUACUGGGUGUAAAGGGAGCGUAGACGGUUGUAUAAGUCUGGAGUGAAAGCCCGGGGCCCAACCCCGGGACUGCUUUGGAAACUGUAUAGCUGGAGUGCAGGAGAGGGAAGUGGAAUUCCAUGUGUAGCGGUGAAAUGCGUAGAGAUAUGGAGGAACACCAGUGGCGAAGGCGGCUUCCUGGUCUGCAACUGACACUGAGGCGCGAAAGCGUGGGGAGCAAACAGG
rnacentral:rRNA from 1 species